UUUGCGGAGAGUUUGAUCCUGGCUCAGGAUGAACGCUGGCGGCGUGCCUAAUACAUGCAAGUCGGACGGGGUAUUUGAGAAAUCGAAUACUUAGUGGCGAACGGGUGAGUAACGCG
rnacentral:rRNA from 1 species